GAUGAACGCUGGCGGCGUGCUUAACACAUGCAAGUCGAACGAAGCACUUUAAAACAAUCCUCCGGGUGCGUUUUAUUGUGACUUAGUGGCGGACGGGUGAGUAACGCGUGGGUAACCUGCCUCAUGCAGGGGGAUAACAGUUAGAAAUGACUGCUAAUACCGCAUAAGCGCACAGUACCGCAUGGUACAGUGUGAAAAGAUUUAUCAGCAUGAGAUGGACCCGCGUCUGAUUAGCUAGUUGGUGAGGUAACGGCUCACCAAGGCGACGAUCAGUAGCCGACUUGAGAGAGUGAUCGGCCACAUUGGGACUGAUACACGGCCCAAACUCCUACGGGAGGCAGCAGUGGGGAAUAUUGCACAAUGGGGGAAACCCUGAUGCAGCGACGCCGCGUGAGCGAUGAAGUAUUUCGGUAUGUAAAGCUCUAUCAGCAAGGAAGAUAAUGACGGUACUUGACUAAGAAGCCCCGGCUAACUACGUGCCAGCCGCCGCUGUAAAAC
rnacentral:rRNA from 1 species